GGUUGUUAGGGAGAUUAAAUGUGAACCUAGACAGGGUGCCCAAGACAGUGCCUGACCCGUGAUAGGCACUCAGUAAAUUGUACUUUCUUUUCCUUAGUUGAUGUGGGAGAUGCGUUUAUCACCAUUGGACAGCAACCCUGGCUUUCUGCUGCUUGACACUUGGACCGACCCUUGGGCAGAGAGCCAUCUUCUUUCUCUUCUCCCUGCAGCUGAUUUGGCCAGUAGAGGAAGGAGGACUUUGGGAGCCUUCUCAUCACUUUUUCUUUCUAGUGAACAACAGUGAGCCAUGGAGCUGUAUUUCGGUGAAUACCAACAUGUGCAGCAGGAAUAUGGUGUGCAUCUGAGACUCGCAAGUGAUGAAACCAAAAAAUCAAGGAAUUCCCAGCCCGCUAAGGCGGGCUCCUACGGUGUCAGUAUUCGGGUCCAGGGGAUCGAUGGCCACCCCUACAUAGUCCUCAAUAACACAGAGCGGUGUCUGGCAGGCACGUCUUUUUCUGAAAAUGGGCCAUCAUUUCCGUCUCCAGUGACAAGUAACCUGCCUCUCCAUUCCAGCAAUGGAUCUGUGCUCGAGGAGAACAGUGCAGAAGAACUGCAGCUGCCCGAAAACCCAUAUGCCCCACCCGGCCCAGUAAGAAACCUGAAACAGCCCUCUCUCUUUGAGGGCAAGAAUGGAGUUCUAGAUCACAAAGGGGAAGCGAUGAAGCCAUCCCCCGUGCUGAACUUUCAGAGGCAUCCAGAGCUUUUACAGCCCUAUGAUCCUGAAAAGAAUGAGUUGAACUUACAAAAUCACCAGCCUCCUGCGAGUAAUUGGCUAAAAGCUUUCGCAGAAGAAGGGACCAACAAUAAGAAGGUUUGGACUUGCUCGUCCAAACCUAGCCAUUCCCAGCCGACCAGACCUCCCUCGGAAGACCCGGCCAGAUCCAGCGUGACGGCCAUUCGACUGUGCAGCUCCGUGGUCAUUGAUGACCCCAAGAAGCAGACCUCGGUGUGCGUGAACGUUCAGAGCUGCAGCAAGGAGGGGCUGGCAGAGGAGGCCCUUGCCCCUAGCGGGAGGCCCCUACCCACCCACAGCGCGCACACCCACCCGGAAGCCAAGAAAACCAGGCCCGACGUGCUUCCGUUCCGGCGCCAGGACUCAGCCGGGCCCGUGCUGGAUGGAGCCCGGUCCCGGAGGUCAUCCUCAUCGUCCACAACUCCCACUUCGGCCAACUCUUUGUACAGAUUUUUACUCGAUGACCAAGAAUGUGCCAUCCAUGCCGACAAUGUGAAUCGUCAUGAGAACAGAAGGUAUAUCCCCUUCUUGCCCGGAACUGGACGGGAUAUUGAUACGGGGUCGAUUCCUGGCGUGGAUCAGUUAAUUGAAAAAUUUGACCAAAAACCUGGGCUGCAGAGAAGAGGCAGGUCUGGGAAGCGAAACAGGAUCAACCCAGAAGACAGGAAAAGGUCCCGAAGCGUGGAUAGUGCAUUUCCUUUCGGUCUCCAAGGGAACUCGGAGUACCUGACCGAAUUCAGCAGAAACCUGGGCAAGUCCAGCGAACACCUGCUGCGGCCGUCGCAGGUGUGCCCGCAGAGGGCACAGGCGCAGGAGCACGGGGGGAGGCAGGGCGGAGGGCGCGCCUUCGCCAGGCUGCAGGGAGCCCAGCCCAGGCCGCCCCUGCAGAACAAAGAUGGGAAAGUUCCAGAAAACAAAGGUGGUCAGGAAAGUCCGACUGGGCGCACAUCCUCCCUCCCGGCACAGACUAAGAAGGGGGAGGAAAUCAAAACAGCCACCGCUACGUUGAUGUUACAGAAUCGGGCACUAGCAACUUCCCCGGACUCAGGUACCAAGAGGAUUUCUGUGAAGACAUUUACUUCCACCUCAAAUACUCAGGCCACACCGGAUCUGUUAAAAGGCCAGCAAGAACUCACUCAGCAAACCAAUGAGGAGACGGCCAAGCAGAUACUUUACAAUUACCUCAAAGAAGGAAGCACCGAUAAUGAUGAUGCUACUAAGAGGAAGGUCAACCUGGUCUUUGAGAAAAUCCAGACUUUGAAGUCUCGAGCAGCAGGGAGCACACAAGGAAAUAAUCAAGCUUGUAAUUCUUCAUCUGAAGUCAAAGAUCUCUUGGAACAGAAAAACAAGUUGACCACAGAAGUGGCUGAACUUCAGAGACAGCUUCAACUAGAAGUCAAGAAUCAGCAGAACAUCAAAGAAGAGAGAGAGAGAGUGAAAGCAAACUUAGAAGCACUCCAAAGUCAACAUGAAAGCAAGGUAGAAGAGAAUGCCGAGCUGCAGCGGCGGCUGGAGGGAAGUGAAGGGGAGCUCCGGAGACACCUGGAGGAGCUGUUCCAGGUGAAGAUGGAACGAGAACAGCACCAGACUGAGAUCAGGGAUCUCCAGGACCAGCUCUCAGAAAUGCAUGAUGAAUUGGACAGUGCUAAACAAUCCGAGGACAGGGAGAAAGGGGCUCUGAUUGAGGAGCUUCUGCAGGCAAAGCAGGACCUUCAGCAUCUACUCAUCGCCAAAGAGGAGCAGGAAGACCUCUUGAGAAAGCGGGAGCGCGAACUCACCGCCCUGAAGGGAGCCCUGAAAGAAGAGGUUUCCAGUCACGACCAGGAGAUGGACAGGCUGAAGGAGCAGUACGACGCCGAGCUACGGGCCCUGCGGGAGAGCGUAGAGGAGGCCACCAAGAACAUCGAGGUCCUGGCCAGUCGGAGCAGCACCGCAGAGCAAACCCAGGUCGGGCCUGAGAUGCGCGCUAAGGCUCUGCAGGAAGAGAACGAGAAGCUGCGGGAAAGCAUCCACGAGCUGGAGCGCACUGUCGCUCGGCUUCAGAGGCAGGUUGCUGACCUGCAAGGUGACGAGGCCAAAGCGAAGGAAAUGCUCAAGAAGUACCAGGGAGAAACUCGGCAAUUAGAGGAGGCCCUUGUGCAUGCAAGAAAAGAAGAAAAAGAAGCAGCGUCAGUCAGAAGGGCCCUGGAGAGUGAGCUGGAAGAUGCUCAGAGAAAUCUGAGUCAGGCCACCCAGGAGCAGAGGCAGUUGUCUGAGAAGCUAAAAGACGAGACCAAGCAGAAGGAGCAGUUAAGGAGACUGAAGGGUGAAAUGGAGAACGAGCGAUGGCACCUUGACAAGACCAUCGAGAAACUGCAGAAGGAGAUGGCUGACAUUGUUGAGGUGUCCCGCACAUCAACGCUGGAGCUCCAGAACCAGCUGGAUGAAUACAAGGAGAAAAAUCGCAGGGAACUUGCAGAAAUGCAAAGGCAGUUGAAGGAGAAAACUCUAGAGGCAGAGAAGUCCCGUCUGACUGCCAUGAAAAUGCAGGAUGAGACGCGUCUGUUGGAGGAAGAGUUACGGGACUACCAGAGAGCUCAGGAGGAAGCGCUCACGAAAAGGCAGCUUCUGGAGCAGACGCUUAAGGACCUGGAGUAUCAGCUGGAAGCCAAGAGUCACCUCAAGGAUGACCGAAGCCGACUCAUCAAGCAGUUGGAGGACAAGGUGUCUCAACUGGAGAUGGAGCUGGAAGAAGAAAGAAACAACUCGGAUACGCUGUCUGAGAGGAUCACUCGGGGCAGGGAACAGAUGGAGCAGAUGCGGAACGAGCUACUUCAGGAGCGAGCCGUGAAGCAAGACUUAGAGUGUGACAAGAUUUCCCUGGAGAGACAGAACAAGGACUUAAAGAGCCGGAUUAUCCACCUGGAAGGUUCCUACAGGUCCAGCAAAGAGGGGCUGGUGGUGCAGCUGGAGGCCAGGAUCGCAGAGCUGGAGGACCGUCUGGAGAGCGAGGAGAGGGACCGGGCCAGCCUCCAGGUCAGCAACCGCCGGCUGGAGCGGAAGGUGAAAGAGCUAGUGAUGCAGGUAGACGAUGAGCACCUGUCGCUGACUGAUCAGAAGGACCAGCUGAGCUUGCGCCUGAAAGCAAUGAAGCGACAGGUGGAGGAGGCUGAGGAGGAAAUAGACAGACUGGAAAGUUCUAAGAAGAAGCUGCAGAGGGAGCUGGAGGAACAGAUGGACGUGAAUGAGCAGCUGCAGGGGCAGCUAAAUUCCAUGAAGAAGGACUUAAGACUUAAGAAGCUGCCAAGCAAAGUGCUGGAUGACGUGGACGGCGACGACGACGACGACGACCUCAGCACGGAUGGGGGGAGCCUCUAUGAGGCGCCGCUGAGCUACACCUUCGCCAAGGACAGCACCGCCGCCAGCCAGAUCUGAGCCCACUUCCAGGGGCCUGCAGCCGCCCGCAGCGUGAGGAGAGGAAGGGAGCGCCAUCACCUCCUCUUCGCGGACCAGAUAAUUCCUCCCUGUGACGUCAUGUCCUCCUAGGAUCUCUAUGGCAGCACAGCUCUGGUAGCUUAGACAGCAGCUGUUGCAGGGUAUGCGUUGAGACGCCUGCAGCCGCUUGGCAGGAUGGAGCCUCCGUUCUGCACAGCUGUCUGCAGCACCCUCUGCAUGGCUGCUCCUCUCUGCCCUCCGCCCCCCCGUCAAGAAAAGGGGUCCAAAUGCUAGUUACUAGUUAGUAGCCAUUGUGAAGGGGAGGGGAGGAUGUGUAGGCUGUGCAUAUUUUAAAUCAGACCUUCUCACAGACUGCUGCUCUUCCAUUUUGGAAUGUUGCAGAGGCUUCGUGGGGUGGCUUGUUUGUAAAGUUCACACAUCUCUAUUGAGUAUUAUUUUUAAAAAUACAAAGCUACUAGAUUUUUAAGUAUAACUGAGCCAGAGGCAAGAGGGAGAAAGUAAAGACCACUCUGGGCAUCAGAUUUGGAAAAAGGAAUUGUUGUGGUGAUAAGGGAGAGUUAAGCCUAAGAAGAGAAGUUCAGGUGGUCUUGGUAAAGAACUUGUUGAUGGAGGGAGGGAAAGUCAGAGGUCACUUGUAUCCGUGGUCCUUGGUUGCUUAUUUUAUCUAGAAUUUUGUUAAAAUGUUUGAACCAUGCUGAGACCAAUACCAGUCACCAGCUGCCGUUUCUUUUGCACAGGUGGAGUGGGCAGACAUGUACGUAUGGUUUUUGACAAAUGAUGCUGGUUUCGGGGGCCGGGGGUGGAGCCCUCCUGUCGUGUCUUUUUGGUCCUUUCCUCCCGCCUCCAAACUACACUCUCUCCGUCCCUGGACGGCGUGGUUGCCAGGUGGGGACCGCGAGGGUUUGGGAGCAAGGUUCGUGGACUUAGGCUUGAGGAAGAGGCAGGUGAUGUGUGCAGUAAGGUCACGGGGACGGGAAGAAGGGAGAGGAGAUAAGCAGGCGUGUGUGAGCGUGGGUAGGAAGGAGGAGGUGGAAGAGGAAGAAGUUCUUGAAAGCUGCGGGGAUGUGUAGGCAAGAGGCAGAUUGGACAGGAUCUCAGGUUUAUGUCAGGAAAGGGAGGAAGGAAGCAGCAGUCAGACAGAGGCAUUUCUGUGCAAACUGGAAGAAUCCUGACUUCUGGGACAGAGGGACAGCGGCCGGCACCAGGCAGGAGGUAACUGGGGCUGGGUGAGGUCUGGGCAAGGCCAUGUUGUUGGGAUGGAAUUUCAGGGAGGCACUGGGAGGAUGCUGGGUAUCCCGGCACUUCCUCUUGGCCUUCCUGGUGUCCCCUCCACUGUGAUGGUCCCUAGGCACGCACAGAGGCCAGGUCCAAUCGCAGCUGGUCAGGGCCGUGGCCAGGGAGGGAACCCUUCAAGUUGUGUGCAUGUGAUUGAGUGUUCAGCUGCCUCGCAGUGUCCCCACAUAUCCUGGUAGGUAAGAGGCCUGUGACCCCAGCGCUCCAUGACAGUUGCCACAGGGAGCAGGGAAUCUCAGUGCCCUACCUACGCCAGGUCACAGAGCGCACCCAGCAGGAUUCAGAGUGAUCAGCCCCAUCUAUGGGUAGGUGUUGUUGCCCCCCGCCACCAUGGGUGAAGCCCCCAGAGCAGAAGAGCCAACCCCUCUUCUACCUCUGCUGGGUGGAGUGCUUCUUGCCUCUGCUUACCUAUUUGGAGUAUGGAGAGAUUCCUCCCUUUAGCCGUUCAUUCAUUUAGCAUGUAUUUAUUGGACAUCCAUGAUAUCCCAGUCUUUGGCACUGGGGACACAGCAGUAAAUAAAGUAGAUCAAAAUCCCUCCCUUCCUGGAGCACUGUCAGGGGAGAGGGGGUGAUCGACAACAGUCACACCAAUGAACACAGAGGCUGAGCCCCUUCAGACCUAGCCCCGGAGCCCCUCUGUCCUCUUGGGGAGGCAGCAAGCCUGUGAUUGGUUGGCUGGCUCAUUGGAACCCACAGGGGUUCUUCGACUCUCAUAUGCUGUUGAGUUCCCCGCUGCUUCCACCGCCAUUAGGUAUUUGCCAAGAAGCCUGCCCAGCAAUGCGUUCGCCUGCUCAUCACUACAGAUUAGAGAUGGGAAAAGUUGGGGGCCCAAGAACUUUGGGAGCGAGUCAGCAUCUGUCUUGGUUUGUGAGAAAGUUUCUGCCUCUCAUUCUGGCCAGCUCCUUCUGGUAGCCAUGAGGCAGGCUGCAAGAAACAAACUGCCUGUGAAAAGAGAACAGAGCUCACCAUUCGGAAGAUCUGCAUCUUUACCCUAAAAUUGGGACGUUAAAAAUGUCAACAAAUGCGCCCUCCUGCGCCGUAAUGGGGCUGGCGGUGAACUGGAUGCAUGCGGUGCACCAGGAUGGGAGGAACACGAGCCUGGGAGCUGAGAGGAGAGAUGUUUUCAAGUCCCAGCUCAUCUUACCGUGGUGACCUUGACAGGGGUGACCUUGAGAGGCCUGCACUCAGAGCGGCAGAUGACGCGGAAUGAUUGAGGACCAGGGCUCAAGGUCCUUGCCAGCUCUGACACGCUGUCAUUCUUUGAUUUUAUUAUGUACACAUAUAUAUUUUUUUCUGUUUGUCGCUUUAAGAACUAACCCUACUCGAGAGUAUUUUCUUUUAGCUAGUUUAAAAAGAAAAAAAAGUAUUUAAUAAACAAGUAUGUGGCCAAAUGCAGUGCUGAAGAGACAAUCAUCAUAUAGCUUUAUGAUUUUUUUUCCUGCCUCUGAGUGUCAUCUGGCAAUGCCGAUUAGUCUUAUUUUGUUGGGUUUCUGCUUUCGGGUAUGGUUUGAUUGCCUGGGUUUGUCACCGGGAGGAGACAUUCUUAGGCAGCUACCUCCAUGUAAGUGAACUCCUGGAGAAAGCAAGUUUGCCUUUCAAUAAACGGUAUCACCCAGCAGGAAUCUUGACUCCCGUUAUUUCGACUCCCUUGUUUUCUCCAGAGCUUGGCUCCGUGUCUGCCAAGAAACAGCCCAGGUGAAUGGCUGGAAGCUACCCAAGGUAGGGGAACUUGGGGCGUUCCAGGCUGGGAUCCGUGUCUGAAAUAGAAGGGUGGGGAGGGGGUGAGUGGGGCGCACUGAGAGGAUUAAUGCCCCUGGAUGGUUGUGAUGUUCUGAGAAAUCCAGACUGCCCAUUUCCAGAAAAUGGCAAAAGGGGAAGUGUGUUGAUAACUGAGAAUAAACAGGCACCCCCUGUUUUCUCCUUGUUCCAAAACUGAAAUGGGUUCUCCUGCAAUCACAGUUAGCGCAUAAUCUCACUUGAUCUGCAGCAGGCUAACAGCAGGUACCCUGGUCCAUUUUAUAUGAAACAGGAGUCCCUUCCACGUGGAAGGGACCUACACUGUUCAUGGUCUUCAGUGCCAUUCUCUGCCCUGUCCUCUGGAGGCCGAUCCCUAAAGGCCCUGGGUUCCCCCCAUGACCGAUGACGACUCUGGUCGGGGUCAGCUUGUGGGAGCAGGUGGAGGUCAGCAUUUUUCUGUUGUCACCCCUCUUUUGUGCAGCGUUUCCAGCGGUGACGCAGCCGGACAGGACUGCACAGGACGCACAGGACUUGGGCGACCAUACCUCCUCCUUGUGUCUCUGGUUCUAAAGGUGGUCAGGGCGGCCUGCUGCUCUUCCUCUGCGCCCCUCGGCAACCCUGGAGAAAAUGACUCGACAGCAAGUUCCUAUCGGCAGCUGAACAGCCUCAAAUCCAGC